UGCCAGCAGCCGCGGUAAUACGGAGGGGGCAAGCGUUGUUCGGAAUUAUUGGGCGUAAAGCGUAUGUAGGCGGCCAGAUAAGUCGGGCGUGCAAGCCCGUGGCUCAACCACGGAAUUGCGUUCGAAACUGUCUGGCUUGAGUGCAAGAGAGGAAAGCGGAAUUCCCAGUGUAGCGGUGAAAUGCGUUGAUAUUGGGAAGAACACCGGUGGCGAAGGCGGCUUUCUGGCUUGCAACUGACGCUGAGAUACGAAAGCCAGGGGAGCGAACGGGAUUAGAUA
rnacentral:rRNA from 1 species